rnacentral:rRNA from 1 species
CAGCCGCCGCGGGAAAACGUAGGUGGCAAGCGUUGUCCGGAAUUAUUGGGCGUAAAGGGCUCGCAGGCGGUUUCUUAAGUCUGAUGUGAAAGCCCCCGGCUCAACCGGGGAGGGUCAUUGGAAACUGGGAAACUUGAGUGCAGAAGAGGAGAGUGGAAUCCACGUGUAGCGGUGAAAUGCGUAGAGAUGUGGAGGAACACCAGUGGCGAAGGCGAUCACCUGGGGUUGUACUGACGCUGAGGAGCGAAAGCUAGGGGAGCAAACGGGAUUAGAUACCCCAGUAGUCCCUGUCUCUUAUACC